UCUCUUGUGGAUCAAGUCUUGCCCGCAAAUAUGCAUCCAUAACAUCUCCUUUCUUCAAGUUCAUUGCUACCAUUAUCUUUGACGCUUUAAUUCAUCAUCUUCAAUUUAUAUUGGGAAUUGAUGACAUGAUAUUAAAAGAGUGCCCUCUGUGCAAGUGUUGGAAAAAGUUUUUCAUCUAUUGACUAUUCUUCUGGUUUACCAGG
rnacentral:misc_RNA from 1 species